GCUCUGGUGGCCUAGUGGUUAGAGCGUCUGCCUCGUAUGCGGGAGAUGGUAGGUUCAAUCCCCGGCAGAGUCA